GACGAACGCUGGCGGCGUGCUUAAUACAUGCAAGUCGGACGGAAAGGCCCUGCUUUUGUGGGGUGCUCGAGUGGCGAACGGGUGAGUAACACGUGAGUAACCUGCCCUUGACUUUGGGAUAACUUCAGGAAACUGGGGCUAAUACCGGAUAGGAGCUCCUGCUGCAUGUGGGGGGUUGGAAAGUUUCGGCGGUUGGGGAUGGACUCGCGGCUUAUCAGCUUGUUGGUGGGGUAGUGGCUUACCAAGGCUUUGACGGGUAGCCGGCCUGAGAGGGUGGCCGGCCACAUUGGGACUGAGAUACGGCCCAGACUCCUACGGGAGGCAGCAGUGGGGAAUAUUGCGCAAUGGGCGGAAGCCUGAUGCAGCAACGCCGCGUGCGGGAUGACGGCCUUCGAGUUGUAAACCGCUUUCGCCUGUGACGAAGCGUGAGUGACGGUAAUGGGUAAAGAAGCACCGGCUAACUACGUG
rnacentral:rRNA from 1 species